rnacentral:rRNA from 1 species
AAACGUAGGAGGCGAGCGUUAUCCGGAUUUAUUGGGCGUAAAGCGCGUGCAGGUGGUAUCGUAAGUCGGAUGUGAAAGCCUCUGGCUCAACUGGAGGAUGUCGUUCGAUACUGCGGAACUUGAGGUCGGGAGAGGGAAGCGGAAUUCCCGGUGUAGUGGUGGAAUGCGUAGAUAUCGGGAGGAACACCAGUGGCGAAGGCGGCUUCCUGGCCCGCACCUGACACUAAGACGCGAAAGCGUGGGGAGCGAACGGGAUUAGAUACCCCGGUAGUCCACGCUGUAAACGAUGGGUACUGGGUAUUGGUGGUAUUGACCCCAUCAGUGCCGAAGCUAACGCGUUAAGUACCCCGCCUGGGGACUACGGCCGCAAGGUUAAA